rnacentral:tRNA from 1 species
GGGCCUUUAGCUCAGUUGGUUAGAGCAUCCGGCUCAUAACCGGAAGGUCCUGGGAUCGUGACCCAGAAGGCCCA